rnacentral:rRNA from 1 species
UACGUAGGGGGCAAGCGUUGUCCGGAAUCAUUGGGCGUAAAGCGCGUGUAGGCGGUCCGGUAAGUCCGCUGUGAAAGUCGGGGGCUCAACCCUCGAAUGCCGGUGGAUACUGUCGGGCUAGAGUGCGGAAGAGGCGAGUGGAAUUCCUGGUGUAGCGGUGAAAUGCGCAGAUAUCAGGAGGAACACCAAUUGCGAAGGCAGCUCGCUGGGACGUGACUGACGCUGAGACGCGAAAGCGUGGGGAGCGAACAGG